rnacentral:rRNA from 1 species
AACGAACGCUGGCGGCAUGCCUAACACAUGCAAGUCGAACGAGACCUUCGGGUCUAGUGGCGCACGGGUGCGUAACGCGUGGGAACCUGCCCUUAGGUUCGGAAUAACUCCCCGAAAGGGGUGCUAAUACCGGAUAAUGUCUUCGGACCAAAGAUUUAUCGCCUUUGGAUGGGCCCGCGUUGGAUUAGCUAGUUGGUAGGGUAAAAGCCUACCAAGGCGACGAUCCAUAGCUGGUCUGAGAGGAUGAUCAGCCACACUGGGACUGAGACACGGCCCAGACUCCUACGGGAGGCAGCAGUGGGGACUAUUGGACAAUGGGCGAAAGCCUGAUCCAGCAAUGUCGCGUGAGUGAUGAAGGCCUUAGGGUUGUAAAGCUCUUUUACACGGGAUGAUAAUGACAGUACCGAGAGAAUAAGCUCCGGCUAACUCCGUG